rnacentral:rRNA from 1 species
ACACGCUACAAUGGGUGAUACAACAGGUUGCAAUAGAGCGAUCUGGAGCCAAUCCUAAAAUCAUCCUCAGUACGGAUUGCAGGCUGCAACUGCCUGCAUGAAGUUGGAGUUGCUAGUAAACGCAGGUCAGCACACUGCGUUGAAUACGUUCUCCGGGCCUU